UACGUAGGGUCCGUGCGUUGUCCGGAAUUAUUGGGCGUAAAGGGCUCGUAGGCGGUUCGUCACGUCGGGAGUGAAAACUCGGGGCUUAACCCCGAGCCUGCUUCCGAUACGGGCAGACUAGAGGUAGGCAGGGGAGAGCGGAACUCCUGGUGUAGCGGUGGAAUGCGCAGAUAUCAGGAAGAACACCGGUGGCGAAGGCGGCUCUCUGGGCCUUACCUGACGCUGAGGAGCGAAAGCGUGGGUAGCGAACAGG
rnacentral:rRNA from 1 species